rnacentral:rRNA from 1 species
GAGUUUGAUCAUGGCUCAGGAUGAACGCUAGCGGUAUGCUUAACACAUGCAAGUCGUACGGAGAAGUAAUUCUCAGUGGCGGACGGGUGAGUAACACGUAAGAAUCUGCCUUUAGAUAGAGGAUAACAAUUAGAAAUAGUUGCUAAAACUCUAUAUGCCGUUUGGUGAAAAAAGCAAUUUGUCUAAAGAGGAGCUUGCGCCUGAUUAGCUAGUUGGUGGGGUAAAGGCCUACCAAGGCGACGAUCAGUAGUUGGUCUGAGAGGACGACCAGCCACAUUGGAACUGAGACACGGUCCAAACUCCUACGGGAGGCAGCAGUGAGGAGUAUUCUGCAAUGGGCGAAAGCCUGACAGAGCAAUACCGCGUGAGGGAUGACGGCCUAUGGGUUGUAAACCUCUUUUCUCAAGGAGGAAGUUCUGACGUUACUUGAGGAUAAGCAUCGGCUAACCCUGUGCCAGCAGCCGCGGUAAUACAGGGGAUGCAAGUGUUAUCCGGAAUUAUUGGGCGUAAAGCGUCUGCGGGUGGAUAUCUAAGUCUUUUGUUAAAUUUCUGGGCUCAACCCAGAGUCGGCAGAAGAAACUAUAUAUCUUGAGUAUGGUAGGGGUAAAGGGAAUUUCAAGUGGAGCGGUGAAAUGCGUAGAUAUUUGAAAGAACUCCAAUAGCGAAGGCACUUUACUGGGCCAGUACUGACACUCAGAGACGAAAGCUAGGGGAGCAAACAGGAUUAGAUACCCUGGUAGUCCUAGCUGUAAACGAUGGAUACUAGAUGAUGCUUAUUUUAUUAUAGGCAGUGUCGUAGCUAACGCGUUAAGUAUCCACCUGGGAAGUAUGCUCGCAAGAGUGAAACUCAAAGGAAUUGACGGGGGCCCGCACAAGCGGUGGAGCAUGUGGUUUAAUUCGAUGCAACACGAAGAACCUUUUCAGGACUAGACAUGAAGAGAAAUUUUUUGAAAGAAGAAUGUGGUACGGCCUCUUUCACAGGUGGUGCAUGGCUGUCGUCAGCUCGUGUCGUGAGAUGUUGGGUUAAGUCCCGCAACGAGUGCAACCCUUGUUUUUAGUUGGCUUUGCACUCUAGAAAGACUGCCGAUUAUAAAUCGGAGGAAGGGGAGGAUGAUGUCAAGUCAUCAUGCCCCUUACUUUUUUGGUUACACACGUGCUACAAUGGAUAUGACAAAAAGUCGCAAAUUCGCGAGAAUAAGCUAAUCUCCAAACAUAUCCUCAGUUCAGAUCGUAGGAAGCAACUCGCCUCCAUGAAGGCGGAAUCGAUAGUAAAAACAGGUCAGAUAUAAAGCGGUGAAUCCGUUCCCGGGCCUUGUACACACCUCCCGUCACACCAUGGAGCUGGUUAUCCCCGAAGCUAUUAUCCUAACCUCGGAGGGAGGUAUUUAAGGUAGAAUUGGUGAAAGGGGUCAAGUCGUAACAAGGUAACC